AGGACGAACGCUGGCGGCGUGCUUCGACACAUGCAAGUCGAACGGGGCUCAUUCGGUGGUAACACCGGAGAAGGCCUAGUGGCGAACGGGUGCGUAACACGUGAAGAACCUGCCCCGAAGACUGGGAUAACAGCGGGAAACCGCUGCUAAUACCGGAUGACCCCACCAGGCCGCAUGGCCAGGUGAGGAAAUGGGCCUACCGCUUCGGGAGGGCUUCGCGGCCUAUCAGCUUGUUGGUGGGGUAACGGCCUACCAAGGCUACGACGGGUAGCUGGUCUGAGAGGACGACCAGCCACACUGGGACUGAGACACGGCCCAGACUCCUACGGGAGGCAGCAGUGGGGAAUCUUGCGCAAUGGGCGAAAGCCUGACGCAGCAACGCCGCGUGAGGGAUGAAGGUCUUCGGGUUGUAAACCUCUUUCGAGCAGGGACGAUUGUGACGGUACCUGCAGAAGAAGCUCCGGCCAACUACGUGCCAGCAGCCGCGGU
rnacentral:rRNA from 1 species